rnacentral:rRNA from 1 species
UGACAGUACUCCUACGGGGAGGCAGCAGUGGGGAAUUUUGGACAAUGGGCGAAAGCCUGAUCCAGCCAUGCCGCGUGCAGGAUGAAGGCUCGGGUUGUAAACUGCUUUGUACGGACGAAAGACUCUGGUUAAUACCUGGGGUCCAUGACGGUACCGUAAGAAUAAGCACCGGCUAACUACGUGCCAGCAGCCGCGGUAAUACGUAGGGUGCAAGCGUUAAUCGGAAUUACUGGGCGUAAAGCGUGCGCAGGCGGUUAUAUAAGACAGAUGUGAAAUACCCCGGGGCUCAACCUGGGAACUGCAUUUGUGACUGUAUAGCUAGAGUACGGCAGAGGGGGAGUGGAAUUCCGCGUGUAGCAGUGAAAUGCGUAGAUAUGCGGAGGAACACCGAUGGCGAAGGCAAUCCCCUGGGCCUGUACUGACGCUCAUGCACGAAAGCGUGGGGAGCAAACAGGAUUAGAUACCCUGGUAG